rnacentral:tRNA from 1 species
UCUGAGUAUCUUAAGUGUUAAAGUAUAACUCUGAAGAAGUUAUUAUAGGGGAACCCUCUCAGAU